rnacentral:lncRNA from 1 species
GUCACUUAAUCCCCUUAGUGUUUGAUCCGUAGAUCAUUGUGUUUAAACAUGUGGGUCUAUUAUUAGCAAAAACUACACACAAACUUUAAAUAUCAUUCGAAGGGUUAAAAUUUUUGUCAUGUUUCACUCAUGAUGUGUUAGUAAGCAGUCACUCCAAACUCUGCAUUUUUUGUAAAACUAGUCCAUGAAUGAAGAUUUUAAAAGUGUUAGUUGUCUUGUUUCUAUGGAAACCAGCAGUAAUCUACACUGAUUACUGAACUCAGGGAAAGUAGAAUCAGAAGGUACCAUUAUGAAGAAGACACCUCUAUAAACUAUAAAGGUGGACACACCUGUUAUCUAAAUUAUGCGAUUUAUCCAGUUGAAGAGGCUUCUUGAGAUGUUCCUGACCCAGGGAUUGAACCCACAUCUCCUGUCUCUCCUGCAGGCAUACUCUUUACCACUGAGCCAUCGGGGAUGCUCUACGAGGUCAUUAAAUAUAAUAAAAUUGAACAUGGUGAUGGUUGCAUACCUGUGUAUAUUCUGAUAAAAGUUUAAAUGAUGAACUUCAAAGUCACUGUAACUUUAGACUUAUUCAAUAAUUGUUUCAAUUUGAAGUCUUGUUAUCUUGCUAUCCUUGCUUAUUCAGUAUAUAUCAUGAAGGAAUUUUAUGGUAUACUUCAGAUUUCAGAAUACAUUCAUAUUCAC